CAUGCAAGUCGAACGGAACUGUUUUGAAAGAUUCUUCGGAAUGAAUUUGAUUUAGUUUAGUGGCGGACGGGUGAGUAACGCGUGAGUAACCUGCCUUCAAGAGGGGGAUAACAUUCUGAAAAGAAUGCUAAUACCGCAUGAUAUAUCGGAACCACAUGGUUUUGAUAUCAAAGAUUUUAUCGCUUGAAGAUGGACUCGCGUCCGAUUAGUUAGUUGGUGAGGUAACGGCUCACCAAGACCGCGAUCGGUAGCCGGACUGAGAGGUUGAACGGCCACAUUGGGACUGAGACACGGCCCAGACUCCUACGGGAGGCAGCAGUGGGGGAUAUUGCGCAAUGGGGGCAACCCUGACGCAGCAACGCCGCGUGAAGGAUGAAGGUUUUCGGAUUGUAAACUUCUUUUAUUAAGGACGAAAAACGACGGUACUUAAUGAAUAAGCUCCGGCUAACUACGUGCCAGCAGCCGCGGUAAUACGUAGGGAGCAAGCGUUGUCCGGAUUUACUGGGUGUAAAGGGUGCGUAGGCGGCUUUGCAAGUCAGAUGUGAAAUCUAUGGGCUCAACCCAUAAACUGCAUUUGAAACUGUAGAGCUUGAGUGAAGUAGAGGCAGGCGGAAUUCCCCGUGUAGCGGUGAAAUGCGUAGAGAUGGGGAGGAACACCAGUGGCGAAGGCGGCCUGCUG
rnacentral:rRNA from 1 species